rnacentral:rRNA from 1 species
ACAGCAGCCGCCGCGGUAAAACGUAGGUGGCAAGCGUUGUCCGGAAUUAUUGGGCGUAAAGGGCUCGCAGGCGGUUUCUUAAGUCUGAUGUGAAAGCCCCCGGCUCAACCGGGGAGGGUCAUUGGAAACUGGGAAACUUGAGUGCAGAAGAGGAGAGUGGAAUUCCACGUGCAGCGGUGAAAUGCGUAGAGAUGUGGAGGAACACCAGUGGCGAAGGCGACUCUCUGGUCUGUAACUGACGCUGAGGAGCGAAAGCGUGGGGAGCAAACAGGAUUAGAUACCCCAGUAGUCCCUGUCUCUUAUAA